UAUCACUGUUGAAUUAGGCCGUGUUCACAUUGACCCAAACUCGGUGUUGUGUUAGUGUAACUCACACAUAAACUAAACAUAAUUACGUUCCCAUUGAUAAAAUUCAAUGUUUACGUUACAUGUAGUUUAAAUCAUGUUUUGUCUACAUGCAGUCGAUAGUCAAUGUAGGCCUUGUGUAGGUUCAGUGUACACAAAACUAGACAUUCCGAACUGUAAUUUUUCCAUUUAUAUGUAAAAAAAGAAACGAUUUUUAUAUAAAAUUGAUACUUAUAACACUUAUUAAUAAAGUUCUUUACAGAAAUAUUUGUCUAAACUUGAUAUAUUUAUUUGUUAUAAAACACUUUACAUAGCCUUAUUAACCCAUUAUCAAGACUCAUCCAUCAUCAUUGCCGAACACAUAAUUCAUUAGAAAAGGUCUUCCCGAAUCGACUGGACGUACGCACUGACAGAAAUAUUUGCCACUGGUCUUUACUCAAACAACGAUUCACUCAUAAAUGCAUUACUGAAAAAGGGUGGGGUUAAUUGUUUGUUUGUGUAGAAUCUCAGAUCCGUUAAAAUACAAUUUUAGAUAAAAAAAAAAAAUAUCACCCUCUCCUUUUGCCAAAAAAAAACAAAACUUGUAGAAGCAAUACUAUUUGAAACAAACAGAAAAGAUAGAAAUGUAAUAAUCCAGAAUGACUUUCUUAAAGGAGCAACCAC
rnacentral:lncRNA from 1 species